GAGGACGACGGCACCGGCUUGCCUUUGGUGGUUCGUGACGUCAUCCAUAAGGCUGUCAUCGAGGUCAACGAGGAAGGGACGGAAGCCGCAGCUCUCACCAUGAUGAUUGCGGCUCCUGGAGCUGCUCCCAUGAGGGUAGAUUUCGUCGCUGACCAUCCUUUCGCGUAUUUCAUAGUCGAGGAGGCGUCCGGCGUGAUCAUGUUUGCAGGGCAUGUCGUCGACCCUAACAAUGGCAGCGGCCCUGCCCCUGUGCGGACUAGGAAACGGAAACAUGAGGGUGCACUUAUUAACAAGGAGCGGCUACCUGCUAGAAGAUUCGAGUUGUUGCCGGUGACCAGAAACCCGCCGGCGCAGUUCGACACAAUAGGCCUGACUGGCUCCAGUGGCCUGGCAAUGCUCGCCGCCAGGCUCACGAGGCCCCUCGCCGAGGGGAGCACGGAUGGCAAUCUAGUCUUCUCACCGCUGUCCAUCUACGCUGCUCUCGCGCUCCUUGCCGCCGGUGCCCGGGACGCCACACUGGACGAGAUACUCCGCGUCCUAGGAGCGAGGACGCGCAGCGAGCUCGAGAACUUCGUGUCGCGCUUGGCAGCCGACACGCUCCAGGAUAGGUCCACCUCAUUAGAUGUGUAUAGUCUCUUUUCGGUAUAUCCUCAAUGUAUAAGGGGUUUUUUGCAUUUUACCAUACAUGUAUAUGUAUUGGCCUUUGGCCCUCAGUAA
rnacentral:rRNA from 1 species